UUUGUUUAGAAAUCGAUCCAUCCAGGUUAACAAAUAUUUCCUUUUCAUACCUGAAUCAAAAUGGAAUAAAGAAACAUAUAGUGCUGGAUAUCAGAGACGAAAAAGAGGUCUUGACAGUCGGUGUACAGCCUCAGGACGAAAGAAACAUCGAAGUGGGACUAGGCGCUGCUCCGGAAAGUUCGGGGUCGGAGACACGGGAUGAAGAAAUGUCCGAGAUAGGACCACUGCGAUCUGAUGAAGGGAGGCAAGUUUCUCUGGGAUUGCCAGAGGAGUGAUCACGGAACAUAAUUAGCUUGGAGG